GAUUGGUGCUCGAAAGAGAACCUGCACACAGGUGCUGCAUGGCUGUCGUCAGCUCGUGUCGUGAGAUGUUGGGUUAAGUCCCGCAACGAGCGCAACCCUUGUCAUUAGUUGCUACGAAAGGGCACUCUAAUGAGACUGCCGGUGACAAACCGGAGGAAGGUGGGGAUGACGUCAAGUCCUCAUGGCCCUUAUGGGUAGGGCUUCACACGUCAUACAAUGGUCGGUACAGAGGGUUGCCAAGCCGCGAGGUGGAGCCAAUCCCAGAAAACCGAUCGUAGUCCGGAUCGCAGUCUGCAACUCGACUGCGUGAAGUCGGAAUCGCUAGUAAUCGCGGAUCAGAAUGCCGCGGUGAAUACGUUCCCGGGUCUUGUACACACCGCCCGUCACACCAUGGGAGUGGGUUCUACCAGAAGUGGCUAGUCUAACCGCAAGGAGGACGGUCACCACGGUAGGAUUCAUGGCUGGGGUGAAGUCGUAACAAGGUAACCAAU
rnacentral:rRNA from 1 species